AAUCGGCGUACAGCACAGGGGACGUGUCCCCGGAGCGGUGCCGAGGGAGGCAAGCCCCAGCAACAGCAUCCAUGAAGGGUGGAAAGCUGAAAAAUCACGCGUCGGGUGGAGUUUGGUAGGACGGUAACGUCUCGAAGAAGUCAGGCCCG
rnacentral:sRNA from 18 species